rnacentral:rRNA from 1 species
AACGAACGCUGGCGGCAGGCCUAACACAUGCAAGUCGAACGCGCGUAGCAAUACGCGAGUGGCGCACGGGUGAGUAACACGUGGGAACCAACCCAGAGGUUCGGAAUAACCGCGGGAAACUGCGGCUAAUACCGGAUAUCCCCUACGGGGGAAAGAUUUAUCGCCUCUGGACGGGCCCGCGUCCGAUUAGCUAGUUGGUGAGGUAAUGGCUCACCAAGGCGACGAUCGGUAGCUGGUCUGAGAGGACGACCAGCCACACUGGAACUGAGACACGGUCCAGACUCCUACGGGAGGCAGCAGUGGGGAAUUUUGGACAAUGGGCGCAGGCCUGAUCCAGCCAUGCCGCGUGCGGGAAGAAGGCCU